CCCUUAGUUUUUCUGGACAUUCUACUUAUAUUGGGCUUGAAACUUCACUUUCUGUAAAAUGUAGAUAUCUUGGGAAGGUUGUGGAUGAUAUGGCAUCUCUCACAUUUGACAGCAGGCGCAAAAGUUGUUAUACUGCAAUGGUUAAUAACCUUUAUGUACACGGAACGUUUAAGGAGUUAUUGACAACAUUUGAAGCUACUAGUCAGUUGCUAUGGACUCUUCCGUGCUCGAUCACAUCAUCAGAAAUUGAUCUUGGGAAGAUAGGAGGAGCCAAGCUGUCCCAUAACACAUGGUUACUUGAUACAUUACAAAGCUACUGUCACUUGCUUGAGUACUUCGUAAACUCUUCUUUGCUGUUGUCCCCAACGUCGGCAUCUCAGGCAGAGCUUCUUGUUCAGCCAGUUACUGUUGGUCUGUCAAUUGGGCUCUUUCCAGUUCCAAGAGACCCAAAGGUUUUUGUGCGUACGCUGCAAUCUCAGGUUCAGGAUGUAAUCCUACCAGUCUGGAAUCAUCCCAUGUUUUGUAGUUGUAGUCCUGGUUUCAUUGCAUCAAUUAUUUCACUUGUUACACAUGUAUAUUCUGGUGUUGGAGAUGUGAAGCAAAAUCGAAAUAACAUUUUGGGAAGUACAAACCAACGUUUCAUGCCCCCUCCACCUGAUGAGGCAACCAUUUCCACUAUUGUUGAGAUGGGUUUUUCAAGGGCAAGGGCUGAAGAAGCACUGAGAAGAGUUGAAACAAAUAGUGUUGAAUUGGCUAUGGAGUGGCUGUUUAGUCAUGCUGAUGAUCCUAUCCAGGAGGAUGACGAACUUGCACAGGCACUUGCUUUAUCCCUUGGAAGUAGUUCUGAAACUACUAAAGUUGAUAGUGCCGAGAAGACUAUUGACGUGCCAGUUGAAGAGGGAGACAUUAAGAAACCUUCAGUGGAUGAUAUACUUGCUGCAUCUGCGAAGUUGUUUCAGAGUAGUGAUUUAGUGGCAUUUAAAUUGACAGAUUUGCUCGUAACACUUUGCAACCAGAACAAAGGUGAAGUUCGUCCCAAAGUAAUAUCUUAUCUUCUGCAGCAGCUAAAACUUUGUCCAUUGGACUUUUCUGUGGAUAAUUGUGCAUUAGGUGUGUUAGCACAUAUUUUAGCAUUACUUCUUUUUGAGGAUGGAAGUGCAAGGGAAAUUGCAUCUCAGAACGGAAUUAUAUCUAUCACCAUAGAUAUCUUGACAAACUUGAAAGACAGUCUCAAGUUACGGAAAGAAAUAUCUGUCUCUAAAUGCAUCAGUGCUUUACUACUUAUAUUGGAUCAAAUGCUGCAGUCAAGGCCAAAAAUUGAAAAUAUGGAAAGAGGAACCCAAACUGGCUCCAUGCCUGAUUCAUCUGGGGAGCAUGGUUCCCUGCAAUUUACAGAUACAGUUGCGCAGGAAGAAAAGAAAAUAGAUGGGAGGGAAAAAGAACCUGGCAUGGAUUUUGAAAAUGUAUUGGGGAAACCUACUGGCUUUGCAACUAUUGAUGAAAGUCACAAGUUGUUGGAUAUUACAUGUGAUUUGAUAAAACAAGAUGUCCCUGCUGUGGUCAUGCAGGCUGUUCUACAAUUAUGUUCCCGGUUAACAAAAACACAUGCUUUGGCUAUGAAGUUCCUUGAAAAUGGAGGUCUGGCUGCUCUUUUUAGUCUUCCAAGGAAUUGCUCUUUCCCUGGCUAUGACACUGUUGUAUCGACUAUUGUUUGGCAUCUUCUUGAAGAUCCUCAAACACUACAAACAGCCAUGGAGUUGGAGAUACGACAAACUUUAAGUGGUAAUCGUCAUUCAGGGCGUGUUUCUCCCAGGUCAUUUUUGACAUCUUUGGCGCCAGUUAUAUCUAGAGAUCCUACUGUUUUCAUGAAAGCUGCCGCUGCAGUUUGUCAGUUAGAGACAUCAGGGGGAAGGACAGUAGUUAUGUUAUCAAAGGAGAAAGAAAAGGAAAAAUCUAAAUCAUCGAGUACUGAGGCUACAAAUGAAUGUCUCCGAAUAUCUGAAAGCAAGUCAAAUGAUGGAUCUGGUAAAUGUCUGAAAAGCCAGAAAAAGGUUCCAGUAAAUCUCACUCUAGUAGUUGAUCAACUUCUUGAGAUUGUGCUGAAGUACCCACCAAUGGAAGGCCGGGAAGAUUUUGAGUGUGACUCUACUUUAAUGGAUAUAGAUGAACCUACUACGAUGAUCAAAGGAAAAUCAAAGGUUGACGAGACAGUGAUAUUAAAGCCCGAGUCUGAAAGGUCUGCAGAAUUGGUGAAGGUGACUUUUGUCCUUAAGUUAUUGAGUGACGUUCUUCUAAUGUAUGGACAUACAGUUGGUGUCAUACUCAGACGCGACUCUGAAAUGUGUCAAUUUCGUGGAUCUAAUCAACAAUCUAGACAUAAUGGCAUUAUCCAUCAUGUAUCACAUCGGUUGCUACCACUUUCUGUUGACAAAUCUGCAGGACCUGAUGAUCAGAGAGGUAAGUUGUCUGAGAAGGCUUCAUGGUUCCUGGUAGUUUUGUGUGGUCGAUCUGGUGAAGGUCGUAAGCGAGUGACUAAUGAACUUAUUAAAGAAAUGACGUCCUUUUCAAAUUUCGAGAGCAAUUCUUUGAAAAGCAGCUUAUCCCCAGAUAAAAGGCUUUUUACUUUUGUUGAUCUUGUAUAUUCUAUAUUGUCGAAAAACUCGUCAUCUGGUAGCCUACCUGGUUCUGGAUAUUCACCUGAUAUUGCAAAAAGCUUGAUCGAUGGUGGAAUGAUCAAAUGUUUAACUAGCAUCCUGCAGGUGGUUGAUUUGGAUCAUCCUGAUGCACCCAAAUUUGUGACUCUUGUACUCAAAGGUUUAGAAUGUCUUACCAGAGCUGCUAAUGCUAGUGAGCAGAUUUCCAAAUCUGAUGGGAUUGAAAAGAGAAGAUCUGAUGAUCAAAUAGCAACUCCUUCUGCAGUUGAAACCGUGGCACAUGAUCAGAAUGCAAGCAGUCAAGAAGCACUCAGAGAAAUGAUAGUUAAUGCACAUAAUCAAAGAACUUCUCAAGGUGAUCAUCAUGCUGAUAACUCAAAUCAGUUAGUUGAACGAGAUAUGAGUGUAGAAGAACAGGAGACAAUAGCCCAAAAUACACUAGUGGAACUAAGAAUGGACUUGAUGCGUGAGGAGAUUGGAGAGGGAAGUGUCUUGCAGAACCCAGAGCAAAUUGAAAUGACUUUCAGUGUUGAGAAUAGGGCCGAUGAUAACAUGGGUGAUGAGGAUGAUGAAAUGGGUGAUGAUGAAGAUGAUGAUGGAGAGGAUGAAGAUGAGGAUAUAGCAGAAGAUGGUGGGGGCAUGAUGUCUUUGGCCGAUACUGAUGUUGAGGAUCAUGAUGAUGCCGGCUUGGGGAAUGAAUACAUUGAUCAAAUGAUUGAUGAAGACGACGAUGAUUUUCAUGAGAAUCACAUCAUUGAGGUGAGAUGGAGGGAAGCUCUUGAUGGAUUGGAUCACUUCCAGAUACUUGGGCAACCUGGAACUGGUGGUGGCCUUAUGGAUGUGGUUGCCGAACCUUUUGAACGGGUUACUGUUGAUGACUUUUUUCGUCUUCAAAGUUUUGAACGUCGCCGCCAGACAGGUAGAUCUUCCUUCGAGAGAUCUGUUUCUGAAAUAAAUGGUUUUCAACAUCCUCUUCUUGUAAGGCCACCGCAAUCUGGCGAUUUUGUCUCUAUGUGGUCAUCAGGUGGUAUUUCUGCAUCCCGGGAUUCGGAAACCCAGUCAUCUGGGAAUCAUCAUGAUAUGACCCAUUUCGACAUGUUCGAUGCACCUAUUUUUCCAUAUGAUCACAUGCCAAGUAGUCUGUUUGGAGACCGGUUGGGUGGUGUAGCACCACCACCUCUAGCAGAUUAUUCUGUGGGUAUGGGUUCAUUACAUCUACCUGGAAGAAGAGUGUUAGGUAAUGGUAGGUGGGCUGAUGAUGGUCAACCACAAGGAGGCACUCAAGCGGCAGCCAUUGCAAUAGCAGUGGAGGAACAAUUUUUAGCUCAGAUGGGUUCCAUAGCUCCUGCAAGCAGUCCUACUGAACAGCAAGUACAUAAUUCUGAAGAACAAGAGAAGCAAUCUGAUGCUAUUCCAUCACGUGAUGCUCCAGUGUUGACUGUUGGGACCGACUCUACUUGUCAGCAGUUUGCAGGUCAGGAUCAGGAAAAUGGUAUUGAAACCAUACCUCAACAAAUAAACCUUUCAGUUGAUGGUGCUCCUUGCGAGGAGGAGAUAAAUGUAGACUCCAGUGUUCAGGAUCCAGGCGAGGGCCUGCAAACUAACGAGCCUAUGUCAGUUCAACCUCUUUCGCUGAACCUCAUGACAAAUAAUCUUGAUUGCCCUGAAAAUGAAAUAAACGCCGCUCCCAGUGAGAAUGUAGAAAUACCCCAGGAAUUUAUGGACUCGUCUAUUGAAUCUUGUACUGAUGUACGAUGCGGACGGGAUCCUGAUGUACCUACUAACAACCACAAUGUGCCAGUUGUACCAAUGGGCUGCAAUGGGACAUCAAAUGUUGAUGGGCAGCCUACUAAUAUUGAGUUACCGGACUCUGGUUUUGAGACUACUAAUCCUAGUGAUUGCCGUGCAUCGUCAAUUUAUGCCAGUGUUGAUGUUGAUAUGGGUGGUGUUGAUGCUGAAGGAAACCAAUCUGGGCAACCAACUGUUUCUGAAGACAUAAGGGAUGAGCUCUUAUCAACUCAGAACACAGAGGUUGCUCUGGAUGAUACUCAGGCUGAACAAACUAGUGCAAAUACGAUCGACCCUACAUUUUUGGAGGCUCUUCCUGAAGAUCUACGAGCAGAAGUUUUGGCAUCCCAGCAAGCUCAAUCUGUUCAACCUCCAGUGUAUGCACCACCUUCUGCAGAUGAUAUUGAUCCCGAGUUUUUAGCUGCUCUUCCUCCAGAUAUUCAAGCGGAGGUUUUGGCCCAACAAAGAGCUCAAAGGAUUGUCCAACAGGCUGAAGGACAGCCAGUUGACAUGGAUAAUGCUUCUAUAAUUGCAACUUUUCCAACUGAUUUGCGUGAAGAGGUUUACAUUUUACUUUUCUAUCAUGCAACAUAUUAGGUGAUUUAUUUAGUGGAAAUAUGACUUGAUCGUAAUGCUUGUACUUGGCUUUAUGCUAGGUGCUAUUGACUUCUUCUGAAGCAGUUCUGUCAGCACUGCCGUCUUCAUUGCUUGCUGAAGCUCAAAUAUUGAGGGACCGAGCAAUGAGUCAUUAUCAAGCUCACAGCCUUUUUGGGAACAGUCACAGGCUUAACAAUCGAAGAAACGGCUUGGGAUUUGUUCGGCGGCCUGUGAUGGAUCGGGGUGUCGGAGUUGCAAUAGACAGGAGUUCUGCUCUUACGGAUACUUUGAAGGUGAAGGAGAUUGAAGGCGAGACACUAGUUGAUGCAAAUGCAUUAAAAGCUUUGAUCCGACUUCUACGAUUGGCACAAGUAAGUUUGGUUCUCUUCACGAUGGUAGUCUUAGUUAUACAAGCCUCUGUUGCUAGGUGUGAAAACACAUUCCUAAUUUUCGUAAUUGUUUUGGACAUUGAGUUCUAUGUGAUUUUCUUUGCAAUACGUUUUUUGUGUUAUCGUACACAUAUAUUGCUUUGUAAUGUGUAUCUAUGUAUCUUUCUGAUUAUAAUAACUUGCUCUUUUUAUGGAUCAUCAUGUCAGCCCCUUGGAAAAGGCCUCCUGCAGAGACUCUUGUUAAACUUAUGUGCACAUAGUGUAACAAGGGCCACUCUUCUUUAUCUUUUGCUUGAUAUGAUUAAGCCGGAAGCUGAAGGUUCUGCAAGCAGGCCAGCGACAUUAAAUGACCAGAGGCUUUAUGGUUGUCACUCAAAUACAAUAUAUGGCCGAUCUCAGUUGUUGGAUGGUAAUUUUUGCACUAGUGUAGAACAUAAUUUUCAUGUGUAUAUCUCAAUAUUUAUAGUUUAUUGCAUGCUGAUCUCUCGUUUCCUUUUUUCAUAGCAGGUCUCCCUCCCCUAGUGUUCCGCCGUAUUCUUGAGAUUCUGACUUACUUGGCCACAAAUCAUUCUGCUGUUGCAAAAAUGUUGUUUCACUUUGAUCAAUCAAUUACAGAUUUUUCAAAUUCAUCCACGAUACCUUUGAAUGGGAAAGGAAAGGAAAAGGUUAACGAAGGGGGAUCUUCACCAAAAUCCUUUGGAGAUCAUGCAGGGGCCGUUCCUCUUGUUCUCUUUUUGAAGCUCUUGAACCGACCAUUAUUUUUACGCAGUACUGCUCAUCUUGAGCAGGUCAUGGGUCUGAUUCAAGUUGUAGUUGAUACUGCUGCAUCCAAAUUAGAAAGUCAAUCUCAAUCUGAAAAAGCAAUAGCAGAUACCCAAAAUCUGUCUGUUAAUGAAGCUGAGAAGGAUCCUCCUUUAGUGGAGAUGGACUCUAAUCGACAAGAUAACCAUCCUGAUCCGAAAACAUGUCCUUCCAACGGAAAGAAGAAUGUUGAUAUGUACAAUACCUUCUUACAGUUACCCCAAUCUGAUCUGCGGAAUGUGUGCAGUCUUCUUGGUCAUGAAGGGUACUUUUUUUAGCCUUGUCAUAUUUCUCCUUUCUUUUUGUUAAAUAUUCUAAUUAUGAAUACAUGGUUUGAAAAUUUGUCUUAAUACUGCCAUAGUCACUUGUUAAUUUUUGUUCCUGUCAGUAUUUUUGUAACCUUUUGAGUUGUGAUGUAACAGUGACUAAUCUUAUAUUUUUUAGGCUUUCGGAUAAAAUGUAUAUGCUUGUUGGCGAGGUUCUGAAGAAGUUGGCUUUCAUUGUUCCCGCUCAUAGAAAGUUCUUUAUUUUAGAGCUUUCAGAAUCAUCUCAGGCAUUGACUGGUUCAGCUGUCAGUGAUCUUGUUACCCUGAAGCAAACAAAUAUGCUUGGCUUGAGUGCCGGUUCUAUGGCUGGUGCAUCCAUUCUACGUGUGCUGCAAGCUCUAAGUUCCCUCAUUUCAUUUAAUACUUCAGGUGAUAAGGAUAUGGAAAGUGAUGUAGAUCAGCAUGACGACGAAGCAAUUAUUUGGAAUUUGAAUACUGUACUCGAGCCACUGUGGCAAGAACUCAGUAAUUGUAUAAGUGCAGCUGAGAUGCAACUUGGCCAGAGUUCUUUUUGUCCUAACAUGUCAAAUAUAAAUGUUGCCGAAAAUUUGCACGGUUCCUCUACUUCACCACCACUUCCUCCUGGAACACAGAGACUCUUGCCUUUCAUUGAGGCUUUCUUUGUUUUGUCUGAGAAGCUACAAGCAAACGAAUCUAUCAUGCAUCAAGACCAUGACAAUGCAACUGCUAGAGAAGUCAAGGAGUGUGCUGGUGGUUCAGCUUCAGUGAGUGGAAAAUUUUGUGGAGAUUUGCAGCGAAAGCUGGAUGGUGCUGUUACAUUUACAAGGUUUGCUGAGAAGCAUCGCCGACUUGCAAAUGCUUUCAUUAGGCAGAAUCCGGGUUUGUUGGAGAAAUCUCUUUCCAUGAUGCUGAAGGCACCAAGACUUAUUGACUUUGAUAACAAGAGAUCCUAUUUUCGCUCAAGAAUCAGGCAACAACAUGACCACCAAUUGUCCGGGCCACUGCGUAUAAGUGUAAGGCGGGCUUAUAUUUUGGAGGACUCGUAUAAUCAAUUAAGGAUGCGUCCUACUCAGGACCUCAAGGGCCGAUUGAAUGUGCAAUUUCAAGGUGAAGAGGGUAUAGAUGCCGGUGGUCUGACCAGAGAAUGGUAUCAGCUACUAUCAAGGGUCAUUUUUGACAAGGGUGCUUUACUUUUCACAACUGUGGGGAACAAUGCAACUUUCCAACCAAAUCCUAACUCUGUUUACCAGACUGAACACCUUUCAUACUUCAAGUUUGUGGGCCGAGUGGUAUGCACUUUAACUAUAAGGGUUUUUUGUAUUUGGACCCAAAAUAUUCCCCCUACUUCAAAAAAAAAUUGGGGUAGAUUUAGAAAUAUAAUGAAAGCCUUUUGCUGUCAUAUUACAUCUUGUGUUUUCAGGUUUAGUUGUUCUUUGACAGUUGUCAUUAUGAUCUUACAUGCAGGUGGGGAAGGCGUUGUUUGAUGGACAACUAUUGGAUGUUUACUUUACCCGAUCUUUCUAUAAGCAUAUACUCGGUGUUAAGGUUACAUACCAUGACAUUGAAGCGGUUGAUCCUGAUUACUAUAAGAAUUUGAAAUGGAUGUUGGAGGUGAGUACUGAUUUACAAUAUUGAUCACUUUUGUCUCUUUUCACCUUAGGCACUGUGCUUACCGAACUCGGUCAUUCUUAGCAUUAUACCAUUUUUAUUGAGCUUUGAUUCUGUGCUUUAAUGAUUUUCUGGCAUAUUAGAUCUCUAUUUUUGAAGGUUGUAGAUUUAUGUAAGUAGACAGAGGAAACAUGAGAAAAUAAACAAAAUAAAUGUUAGGAAUGAUUAGGACUUUUACUUGGAAUGAAACAUAUAAUUUGUGUAGAAGGAGAGGUGUUUGUGAAUGGAGAGAAAGAGAGAGAGAGAGGGGGGAGAGAGAGAGAGAGAGAGAGAGAGAGAGAGAGAGAGAACUUUUGAGCAGAUUGACUUAAAGGAUGGGGUGUGCGCGCGCGUGUCAUGGCAACAUGGGUUUUUUUCAUUUGUUUAAUCCGCUUUUUGUACUGCCCAAGAUUAUGCACUUAUCUUGAAUUCACACGUAUUAUAGAAUUAUAUGACAAUCACUGUAUUGAAUGGAAAUUUACACAUAUUAUAGAAUUAGUGAAUUACUCCCUCCAGUCUCAAUUAUAUGCAACUUUUCACUUUUUAGGUUCAUUGAAUAAAUGAUGUGGUCUAUAAUAUAGACCACCUACAUAAUUUAUUCAAUGAACUAAAAAGUGAAAAGUUGCUUGUAAUUGAGACCCAGAGGAAGUAUAUCACAAUCACUGUAAUGAAUGGAGACUCCUAAACUGUCAUCCUUUCUGGUAUGGAUACUGUUAUUGACUCUAGGAAGUUAUUUAUUACUAUAAGCCAGUAUAAGCUCUAAGCCCUGCUUGGUACUCUCUUCCACGAUGUGCUUAAAAUGGCCAUAUAAUUUUAUUUGAGUUCAGGGUGCACUUAUUUUCUGCAUGUAUUGCUUUCUGUCUAAUUUUUUUUUGGCAUGUGCAUACCAGAAUGACGUGAGUGAUAUUCCUGACCUGACAUUUAGCAUGGAUGCUGAUGAAGAAAAACUCAUACUUUAUGAAAAGAAUGAGGUAAGCAAGUAUAUUAUUUUGCCUAAAAGUGGAACUUACUUUAAUAGCUUGCUAAAAUGUUAAUGUGACAAUUUUGAAUAUUUUUUUCCAUGACAUGAUUCUAAUAUAUUCACUCAUGAUAAAUUCUUGGGAGUUGUCCUUACAUUUGUUUUGUCCAUCCCUCCAAAAUUGUGAAAUAGGUCACUGAUUAUGAGCUUAAACCUGGGGGAAGGAACAUAAGGGUUACAGAAGAAACAAAGCAUGAGUACGUUGACCUUGUUGCUGAACAUCUCCUGACUAAUGCCAUCCGUCCUCAAAUCAACUCCUUUCUAGAAGGUUUUAGUGAAAUGGUACCACGGGAACUUAUAUCAAUCUUUAAUGAUAAAGAGCUUGAGCUACUCAUAAGUGGUCUUCCAGAAAUCGAUUGUGAGUUGGUUUCUUUUUUAGUCGAAUUAUGUUCUAAUACACCAAAUGGUGGGACCCCUUCCCGGACCCUGCAUAUGCGGGAGCUCUAGUGCACCGGGUUGCCCUUUUUUUAUGUUCUAAUCUCAUAUGUAUCUGAAUGAUGCCAUUCUCCUUGUAGUGGAUGAUUUGAAGGCAAAUACCGAGUAUACAGGCUAUACUGUUGCAUCAAAUGUUGUUCAAUGGUUUUGGGAGGUAGUCAAAUCUUUCAGUAAGGAAGACAUGGCCAGAUUACUGCAGUUUGUGACAGGAACAUCAAAGGUAAUUUUCUCAAAAUUUUAACGUUCUAAUGUUACUUAUUUUUUUUAAGCUUCUAAUUUUGCUUAAUAUUAAAAUUAACAAUCAUUUGAUUUAUAUUGAAAUCGUGUAACUAUAUUUGCUGCAUAUACUUAUAAUUUUACUGUAUGAAGGGUUAAAAUAAUGGGAUGAAGAUUAACUUAUCUGGAGUACAGACAUACUCAUGAAAUUAAUGGUCAUAAUCGGUUGUCAUCAUAUUGUAUUAAUGAUCACGAUGCCAAACUUUGGAAAUAUUCAUCAUUCAUAGCUAUGUAAUCAUAGUUGAUACUUAUUUUUGAUUUUAUUAAAUGUAUUGUUUGUUCAAUUGAAGAAUGAAAUAGUUUUGAAUUUUAUGAAAAUUUGUGGAGUUGAUCUAAUAAAUAAGUACCUACAGUUUGAUGGUUGAAUUGUUAAAAUCCAAUGCCUAUAACGAGUUCUUUAGCUAAGUAACUAUGCCAAGAGUUACUCUUGGAAUAGCUGCCCAAAAUAAAUUAAUGGACACAUUAUACAUAAAUUGAUAACAUUAUUUAACAUAUUUAUUAUAAUAAAAGAAACAUUUUCAAGUUUCAACUAGUACGCAAAUCAUAUGUUUAUAAACUAUAUAUUAAUUAUUAUUUUGUUCCAGAAAUAUCUUAUUUUAUUUAUAUGCAUUUUAUACCCAAAAGCACUUGCAUGAGAUGGUAAGGGAUCUCUUCUAGCAUAACCAGAGGUCCUGGUCUCGUAUCCAGCCAUAGGAAUGUAGUGGUGUUAAAUCUCUUGAGUGAGAGCUUUGCCACCCAUAGAGUCCUAUCCUACCCGGCUUGAGGGAUUAGUCUUUGCAGUUGCGCGCAGAGGAUACCUCACACUGAAAAAUUUAUAAGCAUUUUAUAUUAACGAGUAGACUUUAAUUUCUUGUUGACAAGAACUAUAGGCAUUUGUUUUAGAUAAAAUGUGGGAGUUUACUAACCUCCACGUGUUUAAAUUCAUGCAUAUUCAUUAUGUUUAAAAGUUAUGCUUUAAUAAGUAUCAGUCUGGACUCGAGUAUAAACAGAAAAGUAGUCAUAUUUGGUGGACUAAAAUAUAAGCAAAACCUAACUAACUUCACUCUAUUUCAUACUAUUGUUCUCAAAAUUUCCUUCAAUGAAACAAGUCCUCAUACAAAAUUAAAUAAAAAGUAAGAGUAGUUUAGGGAUGAUUCUCUAAGUAUUUGAUAGAAAUACAAUUUUUUUUUUAAUUACAUCAAGAAAAGCAACCGAGGUUACCUACUUUUGUUAACCUCUGUGUAAUUAGAGGAGUACUCAAUUUAUUAUUUGCAAUGGAAAGAUACUCGUGCUAUUAAGUAGUUCUUAAUCAUGAAGUAUUAGAGAAAGUUAGCAUUGUUCUUGAUGUGAUAUCUCAUGAAACCCAUUAAGGAUAUAUGCGCUCGUAUGCUAUAUAUAUAUCUCAGAUGCAUGAAUUUUUCCAUAUGGGUUGCACUUUGCAGUAACCGGUUGUUGUGGCAUAUGCUUGAGUUUUUUUUUUUGUUUCAUUAAUUUUUGCUUGAACACGUCUCCUAGAUGUUAUGGUUGUCAGUUUGUUUUCAGCAAAAAUAGAAGCCUUGUUGAAUAUGUAAUAUCUUAUGAAUGUGUUUGGUAACAACUGUGGCCUUCCUAAUUUGUUUCAGGUUCCUUUGGAGGGUUUUAAAGCCUUGCAAGGCAUCUCUGGUCCCCAAAGGUUUCAGAUUCACAAGGCAUACGGAGCUCCUGAUCGACUUCCAUCAGCUCAUACUUGGUGAGUAAUUAUAUUUUCAAAUUUAUAUUAGUAUGGUUACUUGCUACAAACUACGUCAAUACAUCACAUUGAAAUUUCAGCCAUCCUAAUAUCUUAUCUUGUACAAUUGCUCUUCAGCUUCAAUCAACUAGAUCUUCCUGAGUAUACCUCUAAGGAACAGCUUCAAGACCGUUUGUUACUUGCCAUCCAUGAGGCUAGUGAAGGGUUUGGUUUUGGUUGACCCAUAAUUUUAUGCAAUGUUGUUGUACAGCAGUUCUGCCAUCAUGUCUUUGACGUGUCAUCUAAGGUCAGACAUGAUAAUUGGAAACACUUUUUGAAUGUUAAAUAAGUUAAUUUUCUCGUCUAUCUAUGAUUUUAGUCAAAAAAAUUAUAGAUCAAAUUCCUUAUAUACCUCACUUAGUCUUCCCUUUGUUUGUUCAGAAGAUGGGGAAGUCAUCCCGGCUGUUAUUAUGUUGAGGAAGGCUCUAUUAGUAUCAUAGCAUCGCAAUGAGACAUUCUCUAAUGCAAGUGAUAGAUUCAUUCUGAUGCUCAACCAGUAAAAUGGCUAGAAAUUUUGUUUUUCCUUGUACGAUUCUGCCAUGACUAGAUUUGGGAGAUUUCAACUUGACAAUGGAUAGCCUCCAUACUGGUGAGCUGUUGAAAUAUCCGCCAAUAUGAAUUUAUAUGUAAUCUCUAGGGCCAAACAGCCUUCUUUAGCUCUACAAUUUCCCUAUAAGAUUUAGGAUGUACAUAGGUCUAUAAUUUUUCCAAUAAGAUUGAGAAUGUACAUAUUCUGGAGUACAAAGUUGAUACCUUUCUUUGGAAAGAAAUGGCUUCAAUGAUCAAAUAAGAGUUCGAAAGAUGGCGUCUUUAGUGCACAGAACCAGUGAUGGCAUGAUGGAUUAGGUUAUUAAUUCCAAUAUACCUUGAUUCAAUUUUUCUAAUACAACAACAACCAAGCCUUAUCCCACUAAGUGGGGGGUCGGCAUUCAAUUUUUUUAAUGGUCUAAUAAUUAUCCAAUUUGAUAGGGAUCAGGUUAUUAAUUUUAUUUCAUUCAUUAUUCUGUGUUUGCCCGUGUUAUUUGUCAAUUUGGUUUCUUUCACUAAAAAUGACAAAUUUUUGGCUUUGGGUGAAUCUGUGUCACAAACAAUUUCGAUGCACCAAUUUAACAUGACAUUUUUCCCCUUUGCGAAUCUCGAAUUCAGUUUGAUGUAUUUGGAGUAAAAGGUAAAAUUGUUGACUCGUUUAAUUGAUCAUUAUUUUUACCACUGAGCCAAUAGCGGUUCUGAUGGUUUAUUGUUGCUUCCAAAAAUGAUCUUUAAUACUCACGUCCUUUUGAUAUGUCAUACACCGGCUUUUCCAACGGCAGUAACUCUCUUGUUAAAUUUGUAAUUUUUUAAAUAUAUUAAUUUAUAUUGUUAUGAAAUUCAUGUCAUAAACAUUCUUUUUUAAUUUUUAAGAUAGACCGGUCUAACUAGAGUCAUCUGAUUCUAUAUAAUUUAAUACAUGUAUAUAUAUAUUUUCAUAGAAACAGAGUUAAACAACCAGGUCAUCCGGUUCAGGCAUGCGAUUCUACCGGUGAUCAAAUGGUUUGACCACUAAACCAAUACCUUGAUCGGGAUGAUCAUUAAUUGGUUUUUAAAACUGUUGUAUUCCAUUAGUGUUCCAUUAGUGUGUGAUUUUUGAUAACCAAUUACAAUGUGGUUUCUGUUAACAAUUUUAUUUUUUUUGGUCUAACCUGAAUUAUCUAAUUCAAUCUAAUUUUUUUAUAUAGAAAUCAAAUUAAACAACCGAGUCUCUAGUUAAGGCAUGCGGUUCAACCAUUGAUUCAGUGGUUUGACCAAUAAACGAAUGACUUGGUACUUUGAUCAAGUCGAUCAAUGAUCCAGUUUUUAAAACACUGUUGUAUUCCAUCGAAUGAUAGUAGAUGAUUUUUUAUAAUCAAUUAAUGAAUGAUUUUUAAAAAUAUAGGCAAUUUGAUACUUAUAUAUGAACUUUACAAAACUUAUGGAUCACACGGUAUUCCAUUAAAUGAUAGUAGAUGGUUUAUGAUACUCGGUUAAUGGAUGAUAUCUAAUAAUAUAGACAAAUUGAUUCUUAUAUAUGAAACUCUACAAAACUCGUGCAUCACGAGUUAGAGUCUAAUGAAUUUUAUAUGACAUUGUUGAAAUUUUAACCAGAUAAAUAAAUCAUAGAUUUAAGUUAUAGCAUAUCUACAAUACCAAAGAUAGAUUAUGAAUGACACAUCUUAAUAACAUUAUAGUGAUUAAUGCUAAGGAAGAGUAAGUGGAGUGGGAUGAUUAUCCUUGUUACCGUUUAAGUUUUUUUACCACUAUUGACCGUCUAAUUGGGCAAAGUUUAAAUAGUUAGUGAGCGAAGACAUAGAUCUUUCAUAGGGCUGAAAAUGAGUCGAGUCGAACAUGUUUGAGCUCGACUCGAUAAAAAUUGGUUCAGCUCGUUUAAAGUUCACGAACAACUCAAUUUCGCUCAUUAGGUUCAACUCGUUGCUCAAAUAACAUAAUUCAAAAGAUUUUUUUGUUUUUGUCAAAAUGCCAUAUCUUGACCUUUUACUUUAUUUUAAAAAAAAUUGAACUAAGAUAAAACUAUAGAACAUGUUUGUUUUAAAGACUACAAAGAAGAAAAUAAUAUGUAGUCAUUUACAACUGCACUAUAGCGUACUAUGCAUUAAUACAAACGCUUUUGUUUUAUAACCACCACUCCUCACUAUUGUUUUCAAACUCCCCGAUGUGGGACUAAUUGUAAUACACAUAUGUUUAGUUAAAAUCCUGCAAAAGUAUGUUACCCCAUUUGCUUCUUUUUUUCCUCUUUUUUUGGGUGAUAUUAUUUCUCUAUUUUAUUAUAACUAUCGUUAAUUGUUAAUUAAAAUAGAAAUAAUUUCUCUAAAAACAAGUACAUAAAUAUUAGAGGAAGCUUGUAAUAAUCUUGUACUUUUAUUAAUUUUUACUAAACUAAUAUAGAUAUUAUCGAAAAAAUAUUUAUAUUAUCGAUUAUCGAGUCAGCUCAUGAACCAACCGAGUCAAACUAUAUACAGCUCAAGUUCAGCUCAUUUGGUUCAUGAACCAAGUUCAACGAGUUAAUUGUCGAAUUGAUUCCAAACUAUUGUCGAGUUGGUUCGGUUCAUUGCCAGCCCUACAUUGAACUUAAUAGAAUGGUUCAACUCAUCAUGCUCCAUUCAAAAACAUAGUCUAAUCAAACUAUUCAUCAAGAGUUAGUGCUUAGUAACAAUAUAACAUAAUUUAUAUUAAUAAUAAAAUACUAAUAAUUGCUUAUUGUCGAUCCAUUAUUGAUUAGUUAAAUAAUUAAUCUAACAUCUUUAAGCUUGUAGCAAUUUUAUGCACGUGUUUAUCAUUUACUUCAUCUUUAUUUACAGUUCUUUAGAGAAACACAUGAUAACUUAGAUUGAAUUCGUCACACUGGUUUAAUUGUCUUUUUUGUCUUUCUAUGAUGGCUGUCUUUGAUGAUACAUCAAUUUAAUGCAUGCAUUUAGUAUCUAUAAAUGAUUAUUUUACUUUUGAAUUUGAAUGUGUGUAUAUAUAUUUAUGGGUUAUGCUAGAAGCCAUCAAUAAAGGUGUUUUUUAGCAACCCAUAUCUCAAGGUGUAAUUUCCACCUUUUAGUUAUAACUUUGCUAAAAGAUACCUUUAUAAAAAGGUGUCUUUUAGCAAAACCAUAUAUAUAAACACAAAAUUGUUAAACGAAUAAUGACUUGAAUUGAGUGUAUUACAAUUCUUUUAUUAGAAGUUUACUGAGAUAAACAAAUAAUGUUGUUUAUAUUUUAGUUAAAGAGACAUUAUCGUGUUUUGUUUAUAAUUUCAUGGUCAUGUCAUCUUGUAUUAUGACGACAAUUACUAAUGGAACGAAACGAAGUAUUAGACUUAAUAGAGGAUAGUAAGCAACCGGUAUGGAAUUAUUUUACACAUACAUUAAAUAAUAUAUUACUCUACUAAUCAACCAAUAAUAUGAAAAUAUACGAAAUGAAAUUACAUGAGUUGUUAUGUUCAUUCAUUAACGUGACAAAAUAAUAAAUUAUAGUCUUUUCUAAUUGGUGUUUGAAAGUGAAAAAGUUAUACUAGUAUAAACUACGAGCAAUGUUAUUUAUGUUAUUUGAACAUCAAUUUGGUUGACAAUCAUAUUUUUUACAAAGAAAAGUAUGUGUUGGUACAAAAAUCAAAGCAAUAGAGAGAAAGUAAAAAUAUAAUGUGAGUAUGAGAGAGAAAGUUGUCAUAAAAUUGUUAGAAAAUGAAUGUAUAAAUAUCAUUUCUCAUAAACUACCACACAAGUACUCAUUCACUUCUCUUCUCCCUGUACUUGUUUUUCUCUUCUCUUCUCUUCUUCAGUUGGGUUUUUCUUCAUUCUUCUCUCUCUCUCUCUCUCUCUCACUACUUUUACUUCAUCGAUAAACCAAUCUUCUCAUUCUCUUCCGAAACUUUGAUUAUUCCUUCCUUCUAUCAAUUUGAUCGAAGGAUCAAUUCUCGAUUAUACCUUCUGGGAAUUGAUCAAAAACUCUCUCAAUCCUGAUUCCUGCUAUGCGCUCACUUCUCCAAUGAAGUUAAAGCGAAAGCGCGCUCUCGAAGUGGUUAGUUUUUCUCUUCUUCAUCGAUCAAAUUUUCAAUUUUUACCCGUUUUAUUCAAAAUUCUGUUUUGUUUAUCGGGGUUUAUGUUUUAUUGGGGGUUUGCAAGCUGUAAUUGUUCUUGAAUUGUGAUUUUCAUUGUUAAUUAAGUUGUAAUAUAGUGAUCAAUUGCCAAUUGGUGUGAUCAUGCUCUUGUUCCUUCUGUUGCACGGAUUCAUGGAAGUUUUUCUAUUAUUUUCUUUUGCAUUGAAAUUAGAGGUAAUUGAAUUGAGAAUUAGGGACACAGAAUGAAGUUUCUUUAGUGUAUUUUAGGGGUUAAGGUGUAUUUUCUGUUGCAUUCCGCGCACACACACAUGUUUGAUUCUCAAAUUUAGUUUUUUAUUUUUUUUUAUUUUUUAUUUUUUUAUAAUUAAUGUUCAUAGUUUAUUAUUAAUUAUAAGAAAUAAAUAUGAGAAAUGUUAACUUGUGCCCUUAGGACUCAUGUUAAGAAUUCCACUAAUAGUAAUUGUGUAUUGUAAAUUGUGUUAAUUUAUUGCUUAAGUUGUUUAAUACUCCUUCCGUCCUAAAUUGUAUGACGUUUUGGGCAUUUCACACAUAUUAAGAAAUGUAAUUAAUAGUGUGGGAAAGAGAUAUUAUGAGUUGUUUUACAAAAUUAUCUUUAAUAAAUGAUAUGGGAAAGAUAAAUGAAAGAAUUGAAAAAAGAAAGAGUAAUAAAUAGUUAAGGAUAUAAUAGGAAACAUAACAUUAAUGUUUCAUUGGUAUUCUAAAGUGACGACAAAUAUUUUUUCUAAAGUGACGUACAAUUUGGGACGGAGGGAGUACUACUAAUUUUUUUCCAUUAAAUUCUUACUAUUAAUGGAAUGAAAUUAAUGCUUAACAUGGGCCCUAAGGGCACAAGUUAACAUGACCCAAUAAAUAUAUAUGUAUCCGUGUCAUGUUUUCUACAUUAAAUUAACAUUGUCAACGUGUCUGUGUCAUGUGGUGUCUGUGUCGGAGUCUGUGCUUCUUAGGUGUUGCAUUGGAGCCAGGCUUGGAUAUUGUUGAUGCAUGUUGUUAUUGUAGUAGUACUUCAUUUCAUCUCUUGAUAUUGACCAAAACUCGUUGAAAGUAAUAUUCAUCAUUUACUAGCGAAUUAAAAAUUUAAGCAGAGGUUUACUUCGAGGCCUAGCACUCAACAUAAUGAGUUUUCUUUACGUAAUUUUGCAUUUCAAUAUUGUAGAACAUCAAGCAUUAGUUGUAUUGCAGCUGGAAAUCAGUUUCAGUUGUUUGCAGAUGUUCUAGCUUAAUUCAUUGUUUUAUCUUCUCUUUCGUCUUUUAAUUUGCGUGCAAUUUAAGUUGUUUGCUCUUUAACUUGACCUGUUGUGUAUUUUUAUGGAUAUCUUAAUGCUACCAUGAUAUAAGAGAUUUUAGCUGAUCAAUCAAUCUUUGCGUGAUCUGUUGCAGCCUCAAAAAAUUAGAUGCUUCAUCAACCGUGUAGCUGCAGUUCCACUUGAGAACAUACAAGAACCUUUAAAAGACUUCACAUGGGAGUUUGAUAAGGUGGCUUUAUGGCCCUUUUCUUUUUACAUUAGUAAUUCAUAUAUUUUUUGGAUGUGCUUGAUUCAUUGGUAUUUCUUUUCUCUGUACAGGGAGACUUUCAUCACUGGGUUGAUCUUUUUAAUCAUUUUGAUUCAUUCUUUGAGAAGUAUAUAAAACCAAGAAAAGAUCUGCAAAUUGAUGACAAUUUUCUAGACUCAGAUCCUCCUUUCCCAAGAGAAGCCGUUCUUCAAAUUCUUCGUGUCAUUAGAAUAAUUUUGGAUAAUUGCGCAAAUAAGCAUUUCUACGGUUCAUAUGAGGUAUGCCAUCUUUCCUACAAUCAUCUUUUUCCACCCUGGUCAGCUUAAUAAGAUGAGAGCUAAGAAUAUUUUGACGCCUUUAUGCAUGUGGGUGUGUUUGUCUAAUUUUUCCUUUUCUUUGUUUUUUGGUGACUUGAAAUAUUUUAUGUUUCUAUUAAUUUUAGAGUUUAAAUAAACUGUUUUUGUUAGGUUUGUAUAUUUUGUUUAUUUAUCCCUUUGUGAUCAACAUUGACACUUAAAAUGGUUUCGCUGAUUCUGCAGCAACAUCUUUCAUCACUGCUUGCUUCUACUGAUCCGGAUGUGGUUGAGGCUACCCUGGACACUUUGGCUACUUUUUUGAAGAAAACAAUUGGAAAGUACUCCAUAAGAGAUGCUUCUUUGAAUUCAAAAUUGUUUGUUCUUGCACAAGGAUGGGGUGGAAAGGAAGAGGGACUCGGACUAAUUGCAUCAGCUGUGCCUAAUCGCUGCGACCCUAUUGCACAUGAAUUGGGCUGUGCAUUCCAUUUUGAGUUUUAUGCAGUAAACGAGUCAGAUAGUGACAUCAAAGGGGCUGAACCCCUGGUUGAAGGGUUGCAAAUCAUUCACUUAAGUGACGUCCACAAAUGUGUGGAAACUGAUCUUGGACUUUUGCACAAGUUGGUUAGAGAAUAUAAAGUACCUUCCAGUUUAAGAUUUUCUUUGUUGACAAGAUUGCGGUUUGCUAGGGCUUUUGGCUCUUUCAGUUCUAGACAGCAAUACACAUGCAUUCGCUUGUAUGCUUUCAUAGUUCUGAUUCAAGUGUGUGGGGCUGAUGACCUGGUUUCGUUCUUCAAUGCUGAGCCUGGAUUUAUCAAUGAAUUGGUCUCGCUACUGAGCUAUGAAGAUGCAGUUUUGGAAAAAAUUCGAGUUUUGUGUUUGCAUUCAUUAACUGCUCUUUGCCAAGAUCGUUCCCGACAACCUUCAGUAUUGACUGCUCUUACAUCUGGAGGGCACCGUGGCAUUUUAUCUAGCCUGAUGCAAAAAUCCAUCGACUUUGUUAUUAGUGAUACAUCAAAAUGGUCAGUUCAUUUUGUUGAGGCACUUUUAUCUCUUGUAACUGUGUUGGUUUCGUCGUCGUCAGGAUGUUCUGCCAUGCGUGAAGCAGGAUUCAUUCCUACUCUUCUACCUCUACUGAAAGAUAUAAAUCCACAGCACUUGCAUCUGGUUGAAAAAGCUGUGCGCAUUUUAGAAGCUUUUAUGGAUUAUAGUAAUCCAGCUGCUGCAUUGUUCAGAGAUUUGGGUGGUUUAGAUGAUACCAUCUCUCGCUUGAAGAUUGAAGUCUCCCAUGUUGAAAAUGGUGGAAAGCAGCCAGAUGAAAAUUCUGAGUCUAGUAGAAGCGCACAUAUGGUUGGAGGUUCUUCAGUUUGGCUAGAUGACAUGCAGCCAUUGUACACCGAACCUUUAAUUUCUUAUCACCGGAAAUUGUUGAUGAAAGCUCUAUUGCGUGCUAUAUCCCUUGGAACCUAUGCCCCUGGAAAUACUACUCGUAUAUAUGGAUCUGAAGAGAAUGUGCUGCCUCAGUGCUUAUGUAUAAUUUUCAGGCGAUCAAAAGAUUUUGGUGGUGGAGUUUUCUCGCUUGCUGCUACUGUCCUGAGUGAUUUAGUACAAAAAGAUCCUACUUGUUUCCCCGUUUUAGACGCAGCUGGACUUCCAUCCGCCUUUUUGGAUGCUAUAAUCGAUGAUGUUCUCAACUCUUCUGAAGCCAUCACAUGCAUCCCCCAGUGUUUAGAUGCUUUAUGCUUAAACAGUAAUGGCCUUCAGGCUGUGAAAGAUAGAAAUUCUUUGAGGUGUUUUGUGAAAGUGUUUACUUCCAGAACAUAUUUGCGUGCUCUUACAGGGGAAACACUUGCAUCUUUAUCCAGCGGACUAGAUGAAUUAAUGCGCCACGCUGCUUCCUUACGUGGGCCUGGAGUGGAUAUGUUAGUUGAGAUUCUGGAAACCAUCUCAAAAAUUGGUUCUGCCAUAUAUUCCUCAUCUUUUUGUCAUGAUCCUUGUUCCUCAACCUCUGCUCCUAUGGAAAUGGAUGGCAGGGACAAGAAUUUGAUCUUGGCUGAUCGUAAGGAGUCAUCAAAGCCAGACGACACUGAGCAGAUCGAUGAGCCAUCUCCUGAUGCAUCAACAAUGAAUACUGAGUCUUUUCUUCCAGAUUGUGUGAACAAUGUUGCUCGUCUGCUUGAGACAGUUCUUCAGAAUGCCGACACUUGUCGAAUAUUUGUUGAGAAAAAGGGGAUUGAAGCUAUUCUCCAGUUAUUUACACUGCCUUUAAUGCCCCCUUCUGUUUCAGUGGGGCAGAGCAUCUCCGCUGCCUUCAAAAACUUUUCUCCACAGCAUUAUGUUUCUCUUGCCCGAGCUCUAUGCUCGUUCUUAAGGGAACAUCUUAAAUCUACCAAUGAGAUUUUAGAUUCCGUUGGGGGGACUCAACUUACUUUAGUUGAAUCCGCGAAGCAGUCAAAGGUGUUGAAGUAUCUCUCUAGUCUUGAAGGUAUCCUGGCUCUCUCUGUGUUUUUGUUGAAAGCAACAACUGCCGUGGUCUCUGAACUAAGCACUUCUGAUGCUGAUGUAUUAAAAGAUAUUGGGAGAGCAUACAAAGAAAUAAUUUGGCAAAUAUCUUUGUGUGAUGACUCCAAGACAGAUGAAAAGAAGAAUAAUGAUCAAGAACCUGUUAUUUCACAAGCACCGUCAUCUACUGUUUUUGAAAGAGAGAGUGAGGAUGACACAAAUAUGCAGACCGUUAGAUACACAAAUCCAGUUUUUGGUAGGACUGGUUCACGUCCCUUGUGGAGUGGAGGGCGUGAUUUUGUUUCUGUAGUUCGUUCUGAAGAAGGUUUGCACCGCCGUACUCGGCAAGGGAUAGCCCGCAUGCGAGGUGGAAGGACUGCUCGUCGCUUGGAAGCUUUAAACAUUGAUUUUGAAUCAUCUUCUUGUGUACUGGAGGCUUCUUUUUCCCAAGAUUUGAAAAAGAAAAGCCCCGACGUUCUUGCCUUAGAAAUUCUUAACAAGCUGGCUUCUACAAUGCGCUCUUUCUUCACUGCUCUUGUGAAGGGAUUCACUUCACCUCGUCGUCGAGCUGACUCAGGGUCACUCAGCACAGCUUCAAAGGCCCUUGGAACUGUUUUAGCUACAAACUUUCUUGAGGCCCUUAGUUUUUCUGGACAUUCUACUUGUGCUAAACUUGAAACUUCACUUUCUGUAAAAUGUCGAUAUCUUGGGAAGGUUGUGGAUGAUAUUGCAGCUCUCACAUUUGACAACAGGCGUAGAAGUUGUUACACUGCUAUGGUUAAUAACUUUUAUGUACACGGAACAUUUAAGGAGCUACUGACAACAUAUGAAGCUACUAGUCAGUUGCUAUGGACUCUUCCAUACACUUAUCCAUCAUCAGAUAUUGAUCUGGGAAAGAAAGGAGGAGCCAACAUGUCCCAUUACACAUGGCUACUU
rnacentral:lncRNA from 1 species